UAACCCUCCCGGCUCUGGUUUGCAAACUGAAAGGAGGUUUAACCCCUUAAGACUUCCCCGGCCCUAAAUGCUUGCCAGGAACACAGAGCUGAACAGCAUCUUGGGGUGGGGGUGGGGUUACCAUCCUUCUACCACCCCCGAGUCCUUCUGCUCCGCGGAGGCUUUUCGAAAGCUGUGUUUUUAAUAGAGCUUUUCAGCAAGCCCAAGUGUAAGGCUUUGAGUCAUCAAAACCCGGAUGUAAACACAGCAGCCCUACAUUCUGCACAGUUUGCGUGUAUUUUAUCUUUUUAAUAAUAUUUAGCUGGCAACUUAAAACUGCAAGCAUGCCAGAUAUUUUAGCCAGCCACUUACAUCAUGCAGCCUCCAUCUUAGGGAGAGUAGUUGCCUGUCCUUGCCUUGUUUCUCAGGUCCCCGCCCCACACUGCAGGCAGUCUGGGUCCUUCUGCAGGAAGGCAUUUUGCUGCAGCUUAGCAAAUCCAGCCCCUUAGAACAUGACAUCAGCUUGGGCAACAAAGAUAGAGGACGGGUUCCUGUCAGAGACAAGACAUUGGGCCCUGGAGCUGAUGGAAGACUGCAGAAGGCUCCUCUCUUUGGAGAAUGGAGUCUCUCAUCCUGUGUCCUGACCAGGCCCAACCCUGCUUAGCUCCUAAGAUGGAGCACAUACUGGGUAGCAUAACUGUAGAUGAGGAUGGACUUCCAAAGCGUACCCAUGGCUAUUAAUUGUUGCUAUGUGUCUGAGGGGCCUUCAGUCCUGCUGAAAGGGCAUAGGCUCUCAAAAUCUCAGAAUAAUCAGCCAGCGUGGAGUCAGGCCAGCCGCUGCCACUAUUCUAAAACCAAGUAGAGCAGUAACUCCAUUAACCCCAGCUUCCACCCUGCAGCCCCAGAUGAUAAUAAUAUCAGGGCUCCAGCUCCCCUGCCCUGCCACCCCAACCAAGGGAGCUUGGUGACAGUUGUGCUGACAGCAGCUGAGGGCCUCAGCUGCCUAAAAAGCCAUUUGCUCAGCUCUGCCCCGUCUGGCCAACAUCUACAUAUUUAAAGGACUCUGGUGAGCCUCCCAGGCCCCCUUCCUCAUCUGAAUCCACAGGCAGGGACACCAUUUUUAGGAGGGCAUGGAAUUUACAAGGAGACCGACACUCCCUUUUUUGCUUCUAGCAGAGCCAUUGUCACCUCCCAGGAGUAAUCCAGAGCCAUUGGCAAAUUAAGG
rnacentral:lncRNA from 1 species